GACGAACGCUGGCGGCGUGCCUAAUACAUGCAAGUUGAGCGAUGAAGAUUGGUGCUUGCACCAAUUUGAAGAGCAGCGAACGGGUGAGUAACGCGUGGGGAAUCUGCCUUUGAGCGGGGGACAACAUUUGGAAACGAAUGCUAAUACCGCAUAAUAACUUUAAACAUAAGUUUUAAGUUUGAAAGAUGCAAUUGCAUCACUCAAAGAUGAUCCCGCGUUGUAUUAGCUAGUUGGUGAGGUAAAGGCUCACCAAGGCGAUGAUACAUAGCCGACCUGAGAGGAUGAUCGGCCAGAUUGGGACUGAGACACGGCCCAAACUCCUACGGGAGGCAGCAGUAGGGAAUCUGCAGCAAUGGGCGAAAGACUGACCGAGCAGCGCCGCGUGAGGAAAGAAGAAUUUCGGAUCGUAAAACUCUGUUGGUAGAGAAGAACGUUGGUGAGAGUGGAAAGCUCAGCAAGUGACGGUAACUACCCAGAAAGGGACGGCUAACUACGUG
rnacentral:rRNA from 1 species